rnacentral:rRNA from 1 species
UUCGUAGGCGGAUUAAUAAGUCAGUGGUGAAAUCUUUCGGCUCAACCGAGAAACUGCCAUUGAUACUGUUAAUCUUGAGUUCGGUUGAGGUAGGCGGAAUGUGUAAUGUAGCGGUGAAAUGCUUAGAUAUUACACAGAACACCAAUUGCGUAGGCAGCUUACUAGACCGACACUGACGCUGAGGCACGAAAGCGUGGGGAGCGAACAGGAUUAGAUACCCUGGUAGUCC